UACAGAGGUCUCAAGCGUUGUUCGGAUUCAUCGGGCGUAAAGGGUGUGUAGGUGGCGCCGUAAGUCGGGUGUGAAAUUUCGGAGCUUAACUCCGAAACUGCAUUCGAUACUGCGGUGCUUGAGGACUGGAGAGGAGACUGGAAUUCAUGGUGUAGCAGUGAAAUGCGUAGAGAUCAUGAGGAAGACCAGUGGCGAAGGCGGGUCUCUGGACAGUUCCUGACACUGAGACACGAAGGCCAGGGGAGCAAACGGG
rnacentral:rRNA from 1 species